rnacentral:rRNA from 1 species
GAUGAACGCUGGCGGCGUGCCUAAUACAUGCAAGUCGAGCGAACGGACGAGAAGCUUGCUUCUCUGAUGUUAGCGGCGGACGGGUGAGUAACACGUGGAUAACCUACCUAUAAGACUGGGAUAACUUCGGGAAACCGGAGCUAAUACCGGAUAAUAUUUUGAACCGCAUGGUUCAAAAGUGAAAGACGGUCUUGCUGUCACUUAUAGAUGGAUCCGCGCUGCAUUAGCUAGUUGGUAAGGUAACGGCUUACCAAGGCAACGAUGCAUAGCCGACCUGAGAGGGUGAUCGGCCACACUGGAACUGAGACACGGUCCAGACUCCUACGGGAGGCAGCAGUAGGGAAUCUUCCGCAAUGGGCGAAAGCCUGACGGAGCAACGCCGCGUGAGUGAUGAAGGUCUUCGGAUCGUAAAACUCUGUUAUUAGGGAAGAACAUAUGUGUAAGUAACUGUGCACAUCUUGACGGUACCUAAUCAGAAAGCCACGGCUAACUACGUGCCAGCAGCCGCGGUAAUACGUAGGUGGCAAGCGUUAUCCGGAAUUAUUGGGCGUAAAGCGCGCGUAGGCGGUUUUUUAAGUCUGAUGUGAAAGCCCACGGCUCAACCGUGGAGGGUCAUUGGAAACUGGAAAACUUGAGUGCAGAAGAGGAAAGUGGAAUUCCAUGUGUAGCGGUGAAAUGCGCAGAGAUAUGGAGGAACACCAGUGGCGAAGGCGACUUUCUGGUCUGUAACUGACGCUGAUGUGCGAAAGCGUGGGGAUCAAACAGGAUUAGAUACCCUGGUAGUCCACGCCGUAAACGAUGAGUGCUAAGUGUUAGGGGGUUUCCGCCCCUUAGUGCUGCAGCUAACGCAUUAAGCACUCCGCCUGGGGAGUACGACCGCAAGGUUGAAACUCAAAGGAAUUGACGGGGACCCGCACAAGCGGUGGAGCAUGUGGUUUAAUUCGAAGCAACGCGAAGAACCUUACCAAAUCUUGACAUCCUCUGACCCCUCUAGAGAUAGAGUUUUCCCCUUCGGGGGACAGAGUGACAGGUGGUGCAUGGUUGUCGUCAGCUCGUGUCGUGAGAUGUUGGGUUAAGUCCCGCAACGAGCGCAACCCUUAAGCUUAGUUGCCAUCAUUAAGUUGGGCACUCUAAGUUGACUGCCGGUGACAAACCGGAGGAAGGUGGGGAUGACGUCAAAUCAUCAUGCCCCUUAUGAUUUGGGCUACACACGUGCUACAAUGGACAAUACAAAGGGCAGCGAAACCGUGAGGUCAAGCAAAUCCCAUAAAGUUGUUCUCAGUUCGGAUUGUAGUCUGCAACUCGACUACAUGAAGCUGGAAUCGCUAGUAAUCGUAGAUCAGCAUGCUACGGUGAAUACGUUCCCGGGUCU